rnacentral:rRNA from 1 species
UACGUAGGUGGCGAGCGUUGGCCGGAUUUACUGGGCGUAAAGAGCGCGCAGGCGGUCGUUCAAGUCGCGUGUGAAAGCCCCCGGCUCAACUGGGGAGGGUCACGCGAUACUGAUCGACUCGAAGGCAGGAGAGGGAAGUGGAAUUCCCGGUGUAGUGGUGAAAUGCGUAGAUAUCGGGAGGAACACCAGUGGCGAAGGCGACUUCCUGGCCUGUUCUUGACGCUGAGGCGCGAAAGCUAGGGGAGCAAACGGG